CUGACUAUAAUCCACUUCCUGCUUUCUGCUGGCCAAUCAGAGUGGGUUGUCACAAUAAGCCAAUCAGAAGGCUGGAUCUUCCAACUGUCUCUAAUGUUGAAACAACGUCUUUAUUAUAGUCGCACCAAGUGGUCAGUCUCCCCCUGUCUGUGUCUCUCUGGUCUGUGUUUGUCUGAAUUAACACCCUGUCUGUCUCUCUCUGGUCUGUGUUUGUCUGAAUUAACACCCUGUCUGUCUCUCUCUGGUCUGUGUUUGUCUGAAUUAACACCCUGUCUGUCUGUCUCUCUGGUCUGUUUGUCUGAAUUAACACCCUGUCUGUGUCUCUCUGGUCUGUGUUUGUCUGAAUUAACACCCUGUCUGUGUCUCUCUGGUCUGUUUGUCUGAAUUAACACCCUGUCUGGUCUGUAGUUGGCCAGGUGAGGUGUGGUCUGUAGUUGGCCAGGUGAGGUGUGGUCUGUAGUUGGCCAGGUGAGGUGUUGGUCUGUAGUUGGCCAGGUGAGGUGUGGUCUGUAGUUGGCCAGGUGAGGUGUGGUCUGUAGUUGGCCAGGUGAGGUGUGGUCUGUAGUUCACCAGGUGAGGUGUGGUCUGUAGUUCACCAGGUGAGGUGUGGUCUGUAGUUCACCAGGUGAGGUGUGGUCUGUAGUUCACCAGGUGAGGUGUGGUCUGUAGUUCACCAGGUGAGGUGUGGUCUGUAGUUGGCCAGGUGAGGUGUGUGUAAUGGACAGACUAUCAUGUUCGUACUUCUGCCUUCUUUUUUUUUUUUUUUUUACCUGUUUUUACAUGUGGUUUUCAACAUGGAAGCCUUUCCUCUUGUACAGAACUUUCCAACAUGUUUUUAAAAGUUCAAUAUUCCACAUUUAAUAAAGUCUUGAAAAAAAAGAG